rnacentral:snoRNA from 1 species
GGGCUAUGAUGAAUUUUAUUCCAAUCAUUCGCAGUUUCCACCAUAAAGACUUCUUAUCUUAGUCUUAAUGAUGGCUGAAGAUCCUUCCUUGGAUGUCUGAGCCC